GGAUCAUUAUCGAAUUAUAAGGCUCUGGCUGUGCUGGCCCCUCGGGGCAUGUGCACGUCUCUGCCCGUUAAUCCCAACCAACCCCUGUGAACCAACCGUGGGGCGCUCUGUCACGGAGCCGUCCCAUGUCUUAUCAUAAACACUGUAUGUCUUCAGAAUGUAAAAUCUAUGUCCUCGCCCUAAAAAAGCGUUGAUAAAAAAUUAAUACAACUUUCAACAACGGAUCUCUUGGCUCUCGCAUCGAUGAAGAACGCAGCGAAAUGCGAUAAGUAAUGUGAAUUGCAGAUUUUCAGUGAAUCAUCGAAUCUUUGAACGCACCUUGCGCUCCUUGGUAUUCCGAGGAGCAUGCCUGUUUGAGUGUCAUUAAAUUCUCAACCCCGAUCGGAUUUGCUUUCGAUUCGGAGGCUUGGAUUGUGGAGCGUGCUGGCCCCUCCCCGGGUCGGCUCCUCUCAAAUGCAUUCGCGGAAUUGACUUUGGUCCGUUUCGGUCAUCAGUGUGAUAAUCAUGUUGCGCUGUUGGCUAGGAUCGAGGUGCCGCAUACAAUGGUCUUCGGACAACUUCAUAUCAAUUUGACCUCAAAUCAGGUAGGACUACCCGCUGAACUUAAGCAUAUCAAUAAGCGGAGGAAAAGAAACUAACAAGGAUUCCCCUAGUAACUGCGAGUGAAGCGGGAAAAGCUCAAAUUUAAAAUCUGGCCGUCUCCGAUGGUCCGAGUUGUAAUCUGGAGAAGCGUUUUCCGCGUCGGACCGUGUACAAGUCUUCUGGAAUGGAGCGUCAUAGAGGGUGAGAAUCCCGUCUCUGACACGGACUACCGAUGCUUUUGUGAUGCGCUCUCGAAGAGUCGAGUUGUUUGGGAAUGCAGCUCAAAAUGGGUGGUAAAUUCCAUCUAAAGCUAAAUAUUGGCGAGAGACCGAUAGCGAACAAGUACCGUGAGGGAAAGAUGAAAAGCACUUUGGAAAGAGAGUUAAACAGUACGUGAAAUUGUUGAAAGGGAAACGCUUGAAGUCAGUCGCGUUGGCCGAGACUCAGCCUGGCUUGCCUGGUGUACUUCUCGGUCGACGGGUCAGCAUCAGUUUUGACCGCCGGAUAAAGGUUGGAGGAAUGUGGCAUCUCUCGGGAUGUGUUAUAGCCUCUGAUUCGCAUACGGCGAUUGGGACUGAGGAACUCAGCACGCCUUUAUGGUCGGGGU
rnacentral:rRNA from 1 species